rnacentral:tRNA from 1 species
GCGAGAAUCGUAUAAUGGUUAUUACCUCAGCCGUCCAAGCUGAUGAUGCAGGUUCGACUCCUGCUGCUCGCUCCA